rnacentral:rRNA from 1 species
UACGUAGGGACCAAGCGUUGUUCGGAUUUACUGGGCGUAAAGGGCGCGUAGGCGGCAAUUCAAGUCAUCUGUGAAAUCUCCGGGCUUAACUCGGAACGGUCAGAUGAUACUGCUUGCUAGAGUGCAGAAGGGGCAAUCGGAAUUCUUGGUGUAGCGGUGAAAUGCGUAGAUAUCAGGAGGAACACCGGUGGCGAAGGCGGCUCUCUGGACGGAUACUGACGCUGAGGCGCGAAAGCGUGGGAGCAAACGG